rnacentral:rRNA from 1 species
GACGAACGCUGGCGGCGUGCUUAACACAUGCAAGUCGAACGGUGAACUCCGCUUGCGGGGGGAUCAGUGGCUAACGGGCGGGUAACACGUGGGCAACCUGCCCCCAGCUCUGGGAUAACUCCAAGAAAUUGGGUCUAAUACCUGACAGGACCGCUGACCUCAUGCUUGGUGGGUGGAAGGAUUUAUCGGCUGGGGAUGGGCGCGCGGCGUAUCAGCUUGUUGGUGGGGUAGUGGCCUACCAAGGCGACGACGGGUAGCCGGCCUGAGAGGGUGACCGGCCACACUGGGACUGAGACACGGCCCAGACUCCUACGGGAGGCAGCAGUGGGGAAUAUUGCGCAAUGGGCGGAAGCCUGACGCAGCAACGCCGCGUGGGGGAUGACGGCCUUCGGGUUGUAAACCGCUUUCAGCAGGGACGAAGCGAAAGUGACGGUAACUGCAAAAGAAGCACCGGCCAACUACGUG